rnacentral:rRNA from 1 species
CUUCCGUAGGUGAACCUGCGGAAGGAUCAUUAUCGUGGGGCUUCGGCCCUAUCGUGAUAGAACCCUUGCCUUUUGAGUACCGUCCGUUUCCUCGGCAGGCCCGCCUGCCAAUGGGGACCCCAAUAAACCCUUUUUAUGUACCUGUAUCAGUCUGAAAAACAAACAAAAGUUAAAACUUUCAACAACGGAUCUCUUGGUUCUGGCAUCGAUGAAGAACGCAGCGAAAUGCGAUAAGUAGUGUGAAUUGCAGAAUUCAGUGAAUCAUCGAAUCUUUGAACGCACAUUGCGCCCUUUGGUAUUCCUUAGGGCAUGCCUGUUCGAGCGUCAUUUGAAACCUCAAGCUCAGCUUGGUGUUGGGUGUCUGUCCCCGCCUCCCGCGGGGACUCGCCUCAAAAUCAUUGGCGGCCGGUACGUUGGCUUCGAGCGCAGCAGAAACGCGAACUCGAGGCCCGGCGGAUCGGCGACCAGAAGUCACUUCUUCACAGUUGACCUCGAUCAGGUAAGAAAACCCCCAAU